GAGUUUGAUCCUGGCUCAGGAUGAACGCUGGCGGCGUGCCUAAUACAUGCAAGUCGGGCGAACAGACGAGGAGCUUGCUCCUCUGACGUUAGCGGCGGACGGGUGAGUAACACGUGGAUAACCUACCUAUAAGACUGGGAUAACUUCGGGAAACCGGAGCUAAUACCGGAUAAUAUAUUGAACCGCAUGGUUCAAUAGUGAAAGACGGUUUUGCUGUCACUUAUAGAUGGAUCCGCGCUGCAUUAGCUAGUUGGUAAGGUAACGGCUUACCAAGGCAACGAUGCGUAGCCGACCUGAGAGGGUGAUCGGCCACACUGGAACUGAGACACGGUCCAGACUCCUACGGGAGGCAGCAGUAGGGAAUCUCCCGCAAUGGGCGAAAGCCUGACGGAGCAACGUCGCGUGAGUGAUGAAGGUCUUCGGAUCGUAAAACUCUGUUAUUAGGGAAGAACAAAUGUGUAAGUAACUAUGCACGUCUUGACGGUACCUAAUCAGAAAGCCACGGCUAACUACGUGCCAG
rnacentral:rRNA from 1 species